rnacentral:tRNA from 1 species
GGGCGUAACUCAGGGGUAGAGUGCUUGCUUCCCAAGCAAGAUGUCGUGGGUUCGAAUCCCAUUGCCC